UACGAAGGGGGCUAGCGUUGCUCGGAAUCACUGGGCGUAAAGCGCUCGUAGGCGGAUUGUUAAGUCGGGGGUGAAAUCCUGGAGCUCAACUCCAGAACUGCCUUUGAUACUGAGGAUCUUGAGUUCGGGAGAGGUGAGUGGAACUGCGAGUGUAGAGGUGAAAUUCGUAGAUAUUCGCAAGAACACCAGUGGCGAAGGCGGCUCACUGGCCCGAUACUGACGCUGAGGCACGAAAGCGUGGGGAGCAAACAGG
rnacentral:rRNA from 1 species